rfam:Ricinus communis cultivar Hale ctg_1100012355207, whole genome shotgun sequence.
AAUCCGUGAUAUGGGCAUCAUCUCAACAAGUCCUUAAACCUCUCCCAUGCAUCGUACAUGCUUUCAUCAUCAGACUGCACAAAAGAAGAUAUGUCAUUUCUAAGUUU